ACUCUCCUAGUACAAUAGUACAAGUGACUUCCAAUCACUAAGUUCUAGUUUAACCCUAGAGAAGAGU
rnacentral:tRNA from 1 species